AUGGAGCCGACCUUGAAAUACCACCCUUUAAUGUUUGAUGUUCUAACGUUGACCCGUAAUCCGGGUUGCGGACAGUGUCUGGUGGGUAGUUUGACUGGGGCGGUCUCCUCCUAAAGAGUAACGGAGGAGCACGAAGGUUGGCUAAUCCUGGUCGGACAUCAGGAGGUUAGUGCAAUGGCAUAAGCCAGCUUGACUGCGAGCGUGACGGCGCGAGCAGGUGCGAAAGCAGGUCAUAGUGAUCCGGUGGUUCUGAAUGGAAGGGCCAUCGCUCAACGGAUAAAAGGUACUCCGGGGAUAACAGGCUGAUACCGCCCAAGAGUUCAUAUCGACGGCGGUGUUUGGCACCUCGAUGUCGGCUCAUCACAUCCUGGGGCUGAAGUAGGUCCCAAGGGUAUGGCUGUUCGCCAUUUAAAGUGGUACGCGAGCUGGGUUUAGAACGUCGUGAGACAGUUCGGUCCCUAUCUGCCGUGGGCGCUGGAGAACUGAGGGGGGCUGCUCCUAGUACGAGAGGACCGGAGUGGACGCAUCACUGGUGUUCGGGUUGUCAUGCCAAUGGCACUGCCCGGUAGCUAAAUGCGGAAGAGAUAAGUGCUGAAAGCAUCUAAGCACGAAACUUGCCCCGAGAUGAGUUCUCCCUGACCCUUUAAGGGUCCUGAAGGAACGUUGAAGACGACGACGUUGAUAGGCCGGGUGUGUAAGCGCAGCGAUGCGUUGAGCUAACCGGUACUAAUGAA
rnacentral:rRNA from 1 species